ACUCAAAUGAAUAGACGGGGGCCCGCACAAGCGGAGGAACAUGUGGUUUAAUUCGAUGAUACGCGAGGAACCUUACCCGGGCUUGAAAUGCAUCUGACCGGGCCGGAAACGGUCUUUCCCAGCGAUGGGCAGAUGUGUAGGUGCUGCAUGGUUGUCGUCAGCUCGUGCCGUGAGGUGUCGGCUUAAGUGCCAUAACGAGCGCAACCCUCAUCGUCAGUUACCAUCGGGUAAAGCCGGGGACUCUGAGGAGACUGCCAUCGUAAGAUGCGAGGAAGGUGGGGAUGACGUCAAAUCAGCACGGCCCUUAUGUCCGGGGCGACACACGUGUUACAAUGGGCGGUACAGCGGGGAGCUACCCGGCGACGGGGAGCCGAUCCCGAAAGCCGCUCACAGUUCGGAUCGGAGUCUGCAACUCGACUCCGUGAAGGCGGAUUCGCUAGUAAUCGCGCAUCAGCCACGGCGCGGUGAAUACGUUCCCGGGCCUUGUACACACCGCCCGU
rnacentral:rRNA from 1 species